GAGAGCGUAGCUCAGCUGGUAGAGCAACUGACUUUUAAUCAGUAGGUCCAGGGUUCGAACCCCUGCGCUCUCA
rnacentral:tRNA from 2 species